GGCGCCAUGGCUUAGUUGGUUAAAGCGCCUGUCUUGUAAGCAGAAGUUCGCGAGUUCGACAUCUCGCCGGUGCCU